UACGAAGGGUGCAAGCGUUAAUCGGAAUUACUGGGCGUAACACGAACGGGGACGGGUUGUUAAGUCUGUUGUGAAAUCCCCGGGCUCAACCUGGGAAUGGCAAUGGAUACUGGCAGGCUAGAGUGUGUCAGAGGAUGGUGGAAUUCCCGGUGUAGCGGUGAAAUGCGUAGAGAUCGGGAGGAACAUCCGUGGCGAAGGCGGCCAUCUGGACCAGCACUGACACUGAGGCACGAAAGCGUGGGGAGCAAACAGG
rnacentral:rRNA from 1 species